rnacentral:rRNA from 1 species
AAGCAACGCGAAGAACCUUACCAGGUCUUGACAUCCCGCUGACCGCUAUGGAGACAUAGUUUUCCCUUCGGGGACAGCGGUGACAGGUGGUGCAUGGUUGUCGUCAGCUCGUGUCGUGAGAUGUUGGGUUAAGUCCCGCAACGAGCGCAACCCUUAUUCUUAGUUGCCAUCAUUUAGUUGGGCACUCUAAGGAGACUGCCGGUGACAAACCGGAGGAAGGUGGGGAUGACGUCAAAUCAUCAUGCCCCUUAUGACCUGGGCUACACACGUGCUACAAUGGACGGUACAAACGGUUGCCAACCCGCGAGGGGGAGCUAAUCCGAUAAAACCGUUCUCAGUUCGGAUUGUAGGCUGCAACUCGCCUACAUGAAGCCGGAAUCGCUAGUAAUCGCGGAUCAGCAUGCCGCGGUGAAUACGUUCCCGGGCCUUGUACACACCGCCCGUCACACCACGAGAGUUUGUAACACCCGAAGUCGGUGAGGUAACCUUUUGGGGCCAGCCGCCGAAGGUG